rnacentral:rRNA from 1 species
GGAUGGACCCGUCGAGAAAGCCAUUUGGGCUGACGGUCCGGGAGGGUUCUCAGCGGCGCAAGCCGUCGAGCGCUCCCACGGCACGGGCAGUCCUGGAAAUAUAGGGAUCGACUCCAGUCGAAAAAAUUGGAGAGUUUGAUCCUGGCUCAGAGCGAACGCUAGCGGAUGGCUUAACACAUGCAAGUCGAGCGGGUAGCAAUACCAGCGGCGAACGGGUGCGUAACACGUAGGUAAUCUGCCUUUUGGUGGGGAAUAACACAACGAAAGUCGUGCUAAUACCGCAUAUGGCCCAAGGGUCAAAGCAGCAAUGCGCCAAGAGAUGAGCCUGCGGCCCAUUAUUUAAUCCUAGUUGGCGGGGUAACGGCCCACCAAGGGUACGAUGGGUAGCUGGUCUGAGAGGACGAUCAGCCACACUGGGACUGAGACACGGCCCAGACUCCUACGGGAGGCAGCAGUGGGG